ensembl:lncRNA
GUCAGGAGAGAAUGGAGCCAGCUAAGAAGAGGAGGAUGUCCUCCCCUGUGUGGGAACAUUUUGAUCUUAUUCCUCCCAACAAGUGUUUGCUAUGUGCCAGGGAGCUGGGAUAUAACAACAACACCUCAUCCAUGCUUAGGCACUACAGAGCUUUGCAUGAGAAUAAGGGGAACACCGAUUGUGGAGCAAGACCAGGAGAACAAUCUCAAAUAGAUGAAGACCUGGGGUCCGUUCUUCGUACCUCGCUAAGUAAGUUAGCUGGAUUUGAUUGUUGACGAUUUCGCGUGAUCUUGGAUCGUUCGGUUCUCCGAAGCUCAUCCGGGACUUGCUGUCAUAGCAACAGAUCAGUGGCGUAAACCUGCUCGGGAGCAGGUUUACUUUAUG